GUGGGGAAUAUCGCACAAUGGGGGAAACCCUGAUGCAGCGACGCCGCGUGAGCGAAGAAGUAUUUCGGUAUGUAAAGCUCUAUCAGCAGGGAAGAUAAUGACGGUACCUGACUAAGAAGCCCCGGCUAACUACGUGCCAGCAGCCGCGGUAAUACGUAGGGGGCAAGCGUUAUCCGGAUUUACUGGGUGUAAAGGGAGCGUAGACGGCAAGGCAAGUCUGAUGUGAAAACCCAGGGCUUAACCCUGGGACUGCAUUGGAAACUGGCUGGCUCGAGUGCCGGAGAGGUAAGCGGAAUUCCUAGUGUAGCGGUGAAAUGCGUAGAUAUUAGGAAGAACACCAGUGGCGAAGGCGGCUUACUGGACGGUAUCUGACGUUGAGGCUCGAAAGCGUGGGGAGCAAACAGGAUUAGAUACCCCAGUAGUCC
rnacentral:rRNA from 1 species